GGAGGUAGUAGGUCGAAAGACCAUUCUGCCUCC
rnacentral:misc_RNA from 1 species